AAGAAUAACGUCGAGAAAUCCGGCGCUUAAUACCUCAUAAUGCAGCGGACCGCAUGGGUAUGUUGUUAAAGGUCUACCGCCUUGGGAUAGGCUUGCGUCUGAUUAGCUAGUUGGUGUGGUAACGGCACACCAAGGCUACGAUCAGUAACUGGUCUGAGAGGAUGAUCAGUCACACUGGAACUGAGACACGGUCCAGACUCCUACGGGAGGCAGCAGUGAGGAAUAUUGGGCAAUGCACGAAAGUGUGACCCAGCAACGCCGCGUGGAGGAUGAAGGUAUUCUAUAUCGUAAACUCCUGUGAGAGCAGACGAAAGACAGAUUAUUAAUUUGGAUGACUGUAUGCUCAGAGGAAGCCCCGGCUAACUACGUG
rnacentral:rRNA from 1 species